rnacentral:rRNA from 1 species
UACGUAGGGGGCAAGCGUUGUCCGGAUUUAUUGGGCGUAAAGAGCGUGUAGGCGGCUAGAUAGGUCCGUUGUGAAAACUCGAGGCUCAACCUCGAGACGUCGAUGGAAACCAUCUGGCUAGAGUCCGGAAGAGGAGAGUGGAAUUCCUGGUGUAGCGGUGAAAUGCGCAGAUAUCAGGAAGAAUACCGAUGGCGAAGGCAGGUCUCUGGGCUGACACUGACGCUCAUGCACGAAAGCGUGGGGAGCAAACAGG